rnacentral:rRNA from 1 species
GAUGAACGCUGACAGAAUGCUUAACACAUGCAAGUCAACUGUGGCGGACGGUUGAGUAACGCGUACAGAACUGGCCUCCCGGAUUGGGACAACAUUUGGAAACGAAUGCUAAUACCUGACACUGUGAGAGAGCUUUGCGUCCCAUUAGCUAGUGGGAGAGGUAACGGCUCACCAAGGCGAGGAUGGGUAGCCGGCCUGAGAGGGUGAUCGGCCACAAGGGGACGGGGACGCGGCACUUGCUCAUACGGGAGGAAGCAGUGGGGAAUAUUGGACAAUGGACCAAAGUCGGAUCCGGCAAUUCUGUGUGAACGAUGAGGUUUUCGGAAGGUAAAGUGCUUUCAGUUGGGAAGCGGUACCAACAGAAGAAGUGACGGCUAAAUACGUGCCAGCAGCCGCGGUAAUUC